UACGAAGGGGACUAGCGUUGUUCGGAAUCACUGGGCGUAAAGCGCACGUAGGCGGAUUUGUAAGUCAGGGGUGAAAUCCCGGGGCUCAACCUCGGAACUGCCUUUGAUACUGCGAGUCUUGAGUCCGAUAGAGGUGGGUGGAAUUCCCUAGUGUAGAGGUGAAAUUCGUAGAUAUUAGGAAGAACACCAGUGGCGAAGGCGGCCCACUGGAUCGGUACUGGACGCUGAGGUGCGAAGCGUGGGGAGCAAACAG
rnacentral:rRNA from 1 species